CAAUAGCGUAUAUUUAAGUUGUUGCAGUUAAAAAGCUCGUAGUUGGAUUUCGGGUGGGACGCAGCGGUCUCGCAUUGCGUUUGUACUGCUGCAGCCCUCCUUCUUGCCGGGGGCGGCCUCUCGGACUUCACUGUCUGGGGGUCAGAAUCGGCGAUGUUACUUUGAGUAAAUUAGAGUGUUCAAAGCAAGCUUACGCUCUGAAUAUAAUAGCAUGGGAUAACACGACAGGACUCUGGCCUAUCGUGUUGGUCUAUAGGACCAGAGUAAUGAUUAAGAGGGACAGUCGGGGGCAUUCGUAUUCCGUUGACAGAGGUGAAAUUCUUGGAUUUACGGAAGACGAACAUCUGCGAAAGCAUUUGCCAAGGAUGUUUNCAUUG
rnacentral:rRNA from 1 species